AACGAACGCUGGCGGCAGGCCUAACACAUGCAAGUCGAGCGAAGCCUUCGGGCUUAGCGGCGGACGGGUGAGUAACGCGUGGGAACGUGCCCUUUGGUACGGACUAGCCCCGGGAAACUGGGAGUAAUACCGUAUGUGGUCGAGAGGCGAAAGAAUUUGCGCCAAAGGAUCGGCCCGCGUUGGACUAGGUAUUUGGCGGGGUAAUGGCGUACCAAGGCGACGAUCCAUAGCUGGUUUGAGAGGAUGAUCAGCCUCACUUGGACUGAGACACGGCCCAGACUCCUACGGUAGCCAGCAGUGGGGAAUCUUAGACAAUGGGGCAAACCGUGGUCUAGCCAUGCCGCGUGAUGGAUGAAGGCCUUAGGGUUGUAAAGAUCUUUCAGUGGGGAAGAUAAUGACUGUACCCACAGAAGAAGCCCCGGCUAACUCCGUGCCAGCAGCCGCCGUAACAC
rnacentral:rRNA from 1 species